ensembl:snRNA U6 U6 spliceosomal RNA
AUGCUCACUUGGGCAGCACAUAUACUAAAGCUGAAAUGAUAGAGAUUAGCAUGGCCCCUGUGCAAGGAUGACGAAAAUAAGUAAGUCAGUAAGUCAGUCAGU